AUACUUACCUGGCGCAGAGGUUACCGUGAUCAUGAAGGCGGUUCCUCCAGGGUGAGGCUUUUCCAUUGCACUUCGGUUGAGCUGACCCUUGCGAAUAUCCCUAAUGUGGAUAUCUCGGGCGUACAAUUUUUGGUAGUAAGGGACUGCGUUCGCGCUAUCCCUUA
rnacentral:snRNA from 1 species